CCCAUGAUUUGAGUAUUUUGAGUUUAUUGAGAAAUGUUUUGACCUAAUGAUUAGGGAUGGUCCAUGAUGCUGGAGAAAGUAAUUGGGGGUGUGCAAAUGGUUUAUCGAGCUUACGUAAGUAGUUCACGAUGCCAAGGUGAGUAAAAGUAAAGUUCGGCAAGAAGGAAAAUAAAAAAUGCCUCAAGAGAGUGUACAUGUGUGUUAUCUCCGUGCCACGAGAGUUGAAUGGCAUUUUAAUAACGUGUAACGGAGGAACGUAAUUAGUUGGAUUUGAAUUUCAAGACCCAAAAACAGUGUGCCUCCAAUCUUUUUGGCGUGUCGUGGAGGUUGAUCUCUGUUUUAUAUUAAUAUAACAUGAAUAGAAUUAAAUUUGUAUAAAUAACAUAAAUAUCAAUUCUUUUGAAAGUAAUUACACUUUUUUUCACUUUUUAAAUUAUUUUAUUCUCUCUCUAUUAAUAUAUAUAAUAUAGCCGAUAUAUACAUAGCAUUUUAUGUAUAUGUUGAAAUUUUUAUAAUAUAUUUAACGAGUUGAGAUUUUUUGUAAUAUUGAAAAGAUAAAUUGUAUAUUUAUUUAAUUUUUAGAUUAAAUUUUCCAAGGCCCAAAAGAGUGGGCAUCCGCAAAACUGCCAUGGCAUGGAGUAAUAAACUCCCAAAUCCAUAAACAGUCCCUCUCCGUGUUAUUAGCGUGCCACGCUACUUAGGCCAUGUAAUAUUGAUGUAGCACGGCUGAGGCUUUUCGGUGAAAAUCAAGUAAGGAAUUAAAUUUCCCAAGGCCAUAUUUGAAAUAAAAAUUUCCCCGUUCUUUCACAUCACCCAACCCUAGCGUACCGCCCUAUCAAAUUUCUCUCAAUCCCCAAUAUGUCACGCAGCUACUUCUCUCUGAAUUUUCCUUCUCUAUCGUGCUUAAGCACAACAGUUAUGAAUUCUCGAUAUCUCUUCUCUUGUACGGUUGUGUGUUGCGUGGGGUUUGAAAUGUGAGUUUGUUGGUUGAUAAAUUUCCUUGGGUAAUCUUGGAUUCAUGAUUGUGUUGGUUGAAAUUAACUUGCUAUGGGUCGUGACACUGAAUUAAGCAGCAUAUGGUGUAAAGGCUAGUGUUUGUAGCAAUUUCUAGAGUUGAUUAAGGCGUAUACCAGGCUGAGCAUUUUUCAUACUAAUAUGUGUGAUUUUUGAGGCUUGUGGCAUCUGAUAUUGUAAUACAAAUUAAAUAUUGGAGCAACUGGUUUAACUCUUUGGGAUAAUAAUGCUUUCUGGUGCAUUGUCUGUAAAUAGCACUUUUUUGUCCUACAAUAUAGUUUUGUCACUUGAAUUCGUCUUUGAUACUGGUUGUGCUCUAAGUUGUGGGAAAUUAUGAUGUGAAAUCAACUGCUAUUGUUUGAAGUCUGAGUAAAACAUCAUAGGUACCAUGUCUGGACGACAACAAAAAGGCAAAGAAGUUGGUCCCUCAAUUGAGGAAAGGAAGAGAAUUUAGGCUGGUGCUCGAGUCCCUACGACCCCAGCCGUUCCUGGAGGACAGGCGCGGAUGUUUGGAACUAGGUGGGUUCUGGAGGACGAAAAGAGAUGAUAUAGCAAGCAUUUCAAAGCCAAAUAUGCCCUAGAUGAGAUGAUUGACACAAAAGCUUGAGAAGGGACUUCCCCCAGAUUGUGCAAUGACUGGAGCAAUCAGGUAUGAAGUUUGUGUUUGAGGAACCAAUAGAGUGCAACCUCCACUUGAUAAGAGAGUUUUAUGCGAAUUGGGAUCCUCAGCAGGCUGAUUUCUCGGUACAGAUCAGGGGACAAGCAAUGAAAUUUGAAGCACAUGUUUUGAACACGAUCUUAGGUACUCCAGAGACUGACCCGCUUCAGCUAAGAUGCUGAACAUUACAACCGUUGUGAGCUGAUAAUCAACAUGUACUUUGUGGUGAGAAGUCGACGGUGAUGUGGAGUUGCCGCAAGGACCACAGUUUCAUUUGACAUUCCCUUAUGCCCGUAUAAAUAGAGAAGCUUGUGUGUGAUUGAAGAUUGUGCGUCAUUGCCUCAUACCAGGUAAGCCCAUGACCGAUGUUAUGUAGGAUCGGAUUUGUUUGGUUUAUGCCCUUAUGCAGGACAAGUCUGAGAUAAAUGUGGGGGUUUUAAUCAAAUCUAUUAUGAAGAAGGUACAAAACCAUCAGGGUCGCAGGUAUGGGUUCAGUGGAUUGUUGACUAAGCUUCUGAGAAGCCACAACACUGAAGAAGAGGCAUUGGAUUAUAAACCACAGUUGGAGAGGCGUCCUGUGGAUGUGACCAGAACUAGAGCACUUGAUGUUUCUCGUGGGCCUAUAGCAACACUAGCUGAGCAAUAUGCUUGAGAUUAUGAGAUCACAGCCAGUAUGUUCGAACUGAAGAUGUUGCAGCUUCAUAUUGAAGCUAGGGCAGCAACUAGAGAUGAGAUGCGACGAGUGGAGCAGAAUUAUCCAUUGGGUCACCACGCCAGGGCAUUGUUGGGCCAGAUUUUGUGGAAUCGGUAGAUGAUGAUGUUGCCACCGACAAGGAUAGAUGGCGACAGGACUCGGGACCCAGACUUGGGUGACGAUGGCCAGGGCCCUGAUUUGGAUGAUGGGACAGAGGAUUUAUCAGGGAGUGUUUCAAACGCCUCACUUUUGCACGUGUUUUUGUUUUUACAAGCACUGGGGAGAGUUACAUUGGGAGAGUUGCUCUUGUUCUUACUUUUGUUCUUUUAUGUUUUGUUAUUAUUUUGUUAUGUUUCUAGUUUAAAGACAUUUCAUUAGUUGCUUUGUUUCAAAUUUGGUUUGUAACAAAGAAACAGUAGAACUUUCAGAUUUGUGAUUGUUUAGUAAUUAUUGGGUUAAUUCUUUAUUUAAAGUUUGUUUCGUA